rnacentral:rRNA from 1 species
CCUACGGGCGACAGCAGUGAGGAAUAUUGGUCAAGGGGCGCGAGCCUGAACCAGCCAAGUCGCGUGAGGGAAGACGGUCCGAUGGAGUGUAAACCUCUUUUGUCGGGGAGCAAAAGACGCCACGCGUGGCGUUCCGAGAGUAACCGAAGAAAAAGCAUCGGCUAACUCCGUGCCAGCAGCCGCGGUAAUACGGAGGAUGCGAGCGUUAUACGGAUUUAUGGGGUUUAACGGGAGCGCAGGCGGAAGAUCAAGUCAGCGGGAAACUUGAGAGGCUCAACCUCGUCGAGCCGUUGAAACUUGUUUUCUUUCGUGAGCGAGACUUCUGCGGACUGCGUGGUGUAGCGG